UAGCCGUAUAUUAAAGUUGUUGCGGUAAAAAAGCUCGUAGUUGGAUUUCUGUUGAGGGCGUCCGGUCCGUACCACGUACGCGUAUCUGGGUCGCGCUCGGCAUCCUCUCGAAGAACGGUUCUCGCGCUUGAUUGCGUGGUCCGGGUUUCGGGACUUUUACUUUGAGGAAAUUAGAGUGUUCACGGCAGGCAAUUGCCCGGAUACAUUAGCAUGGAAUAAUACUAUAGGAUUUUGGUUCUAUUUUGUUGGUUUCUAGGACUAAAAUAAUGAUUAGUAGGGACAAUUGGGGGCAUUCGUAUCAACACGCUAGAGGUGAAAUUCUUGGAUUGUGUUGCGACGAACUACUGCGAAAGCAUUUGCCAAGGAUGUUUUCAUUGAUCAAGAACGAAAGUAAGGGGAUCGAAGAUGAUUAGAUACCGUCGUAGUCUUUACCACAAACUAUGCCAACUAGAGAUGGGGCAUCGUUCAAUACGACUUGCUCCGCACCUUAUGAGAUAUCAAAGUCUUUGGGUUCCGGGGGGAGUAUGGUCGCAAGUCUGGAACUUAAAGG
rnacentral:rRNA from 1 species